CCCCCUCCCGGCCACCCCCCUCUGUCCCUCUCUCUGCUUCCAUUCACGGCCUAUAUGUAGCCCGCUUCCACGUUGGUCUCGGUCAGACCUGCCAUAAGCCGUAGCAUCAGCUCAGUUGAAUCGCCACGCCCAAGGCACACGUAUGUCUCGCGCGCUCGCGCUUGCGAUCCUCCUCCUGGCCGCCGCCGCCGCGGUGGCGCCGCUGGCCUCCGCCGGCACCGAGGAGUUCACCAGCGUCGGGUCCAGCGGCGGCAAGAUGUUCGACAGGGCGGUCGGAGCCGAUCCCGACCCGUCCCCGGCCGGCGGACUGCCGGCCGACCCGGCGCCCGACGCACGCCCCUAAGGCCACGCACGCACCGUCGUACGGCCCCGUUUCCGUGUACGCUUCACGCGCUGUGAAUUCUUGAAGAAAAAAAACGGGGUUCUAGCAUGGCGACGUUUGGGCGCUGGACACAGGAUUCCAGGAAUAGUUCGAGCCUUCCAGGCCACCGUUUCUGAGCAACCGAAGCGUCUCUGCUUCUGCAAUCUGCAUGUUGGAGUCAUCAAACCAGCAAAUGGAUCACAGGGGCACAAAUCGGGAACAACUCUUGAUAAAGAAACGGCCUAGAAUUAUCUUCUUGGAGCUAUGCCUAUCUUACCUCCCCUUUGAAUAACGUGACUGCCCAUCAUGCCACCGUUACAUCAUAUUCUCUCUUGAGCCUAAUAUUAUACAAAAAAAAAAUGCACUGGUAUUGUAAAAGGAAAGGGCUCACAUGAGGGCUGAGUGGAAGAAAACUAACUUCUUCCAUCUAGGUGAAUGGGUUCGAUUCUUGAGAGAAAGAGACCUUUAGGUCAGAUUUCUAGACAAAAUGCAGUUCAUAGACGGAAGGAAUUGGCUUGAUUUUUGUGUAAGAUAGACCGGGAAGGUCUCUAAUACUACAUUACUAUGCUUUGCCUGCAAUGUCUUCUUGCAUGCGUACAAAUUGACGGAUUUUGCAUUAACAGGCAUGCACCCAUCUUUUUUUUUAUCGCCGCAGUAUAAAAACAAUGCUGGAUCCAAUGUUUGAAAAUAACAGUGUGGCAGAUACGUAGCGUGGUGAAUUUUCUACGCUGCUGUGGAGUAGUAUUUGUUAGAAUUUAUAUGGGCUAGUAACAGUAUUUGUUUCAAAUGGAAGUUAGGUGACGGACGCAGAACGACCGCAUGAUAAAAUCAAGCAAACCUAUGAAAAACUAGUGUUAUAUAAAAUUCAAGUUUUAUAUCAAUUUCAAAGAAGAAAAAACUAUAUAAACUAAAGAAGCAAACAUACUGCUAAUUUUUUUCUUGCCGAAUUGAAACCAUGCAUACCUUGUCCAAUGUCGAUCUUCUCGAAUGGCGGGGGCACCAUGAAGGGAGUGGGGUUAGGUCAUAUCGCCGACAAAGAGCCAAUGUUCGCUGGUUCUUUAAG